GAAUGUGAAGGCCAUCUGGCUGUGAAAUCUGUCACCCCCUUGAUCCCCACGGUUGAUUUGGAUGAUGUAUCUGGCUAGGCAGGUUUCUCCUUCCCCCUCACCACUCCAUAUGUGGCCCUUCCACAGCUGCCCUCUUGGUUGAAGAGGACUGUUUUUUUUUUUAAAUUAUUAUUAAAA
rnacentral:snRNA from 1 species